AUUGGAUAUUUUUGGCCUUUUCAGGAACAUGUGCCAUGGCUCUGAUCCUAUCUUUCAGGGUUUUCUGUAGGACCUGAAAAAUCAAUUUUUUUGUUUCUCUUUUUUUCCAUACGGUUCAUGGACAGAACCCGGCUUUUCUCAGAAUCAGAUUUGUUUAGUAGGCUGAUGGCAGAUGAUAAUGCUAAGCAGUCCUUGCUUUCUGAGACGGUCGAUCCUUCUCAUUUGAAUGAAAGCAAUGCCCUCAAGAGAAGGAAAAUCCGCCGUUGUGGGAGUGCUCCUUUAUCAGUUAUGAAUUGCUCGGGACACAAUGGCAUUGGGUCUCUUCCACAUCUUAAAUCCAUGUUUGUGAAACUAGAACCUAGUUUCAAACAAGUAUUCAUCUUAUUGGCUGCCUAUCUCGCUGUUGGGACUCUCUGCUUCUACCUAAUUAGGGAUCAGAUCAAGGGUAGGAAAACAAAUGGGGUUCUUGAUGCUGUUUACUUCUGUGUUGUGACAAUGACCACUGUUGGGUAUGGGGAUCUCGUGCCUGAUACCAUUUUGGCGAAGCUACUGGCCUGUGUUUUUGUCUUCAGUGGCAUGGCUCUUGGUGGGCUAAUUCUUAGUAGAGCAGCAGACUAUAUUGUAGAAAAGCAGGAAGUCCUUUUAGUUAAGGCCAUGCACAGGCAUGAAAAAGCUGGUCCUGCUGAGAUUCUGAAGGAUGUUGAGACCAACAAAGUCAAAUACAAAUUUUUUCUGGCCCUGAUCCUUCUUUUGGUGCUUAUAAUUGUGGGAACCCUCUUGUUGUCCUUAGUGGAGAAACUGAGUUUCAUUGAUGCCUUCUACUGUGUCUGUGUCACCGUCACUACUCUGGGGUACGGCGAUGAGAGUUUCUCUACUGGAGUUGGUCGUGCAUUUGCUGUUUUUUGGAUACUUAGCAGUACCAUUUGUUUAGCUCAGUUCUUUCUCUACCUUGCUGAACUAUACACCGAAGGCAGGCAAAGAUCACUAGUCAAAUGGGUUCUUACUCGAAAAAUGACAUUCUCAGAUCUUGAGGGAGCAGAUCUUGAUCACGAUCAAGCUGUCUGUGCUGCUGAGUUCAUCUUAUACAAGCUCAAAGAAAUGGGAAAGAUCAGCCAGGAAGAUAUAUUGCUUUGGAUGGAGAGGUUUAAAGAUCUUGAUGUUGAUGGCUCAGGAACUUUGACAAGAGCUAACCUAAUGCUUUCCCAGUGACGUUGAACUAACCUUAUCGAGCUGGUACUCUAAUUUUGUAAAACAUUCAUAGUAGCAGGGAAAAGCUGGAAAAGGCAUGGCUACGUGAGGAUUUUCACCUUGAAACGUAUCCUAGAUAUUGGGAGGAUGUGUUCUCAUCUGAUGGAAAAAUUGAAGAAAAUGGUAGUAUUUCAAUGUUGAACUCUGCCUUGACACACAAUGUGAAGGGAGUUAAAUUUCAGGUUUCUUGCCAUGGUAUCUGGUUAAGGGUGGAAAUCUGGUCAGUACUUGGAAUUCAAGGAGCUUGAACCAAGCCUAGUUUGGACUCUGGAUGAAUCCCUUUCUUUGUGGUUUGAUUCAGAGCAUGCCUAGUUUUGACCUUCUCCAUCGUAUUUGUCUCCUUGAACAGGUUGACAUUUUUUUAGCAAUCAAUUGGUCUGUGCCAUAUUCAAGGAGAAAACAGUGAAAAAGAAUAUAUAACCAACACAAGUGCUAGGCGGUGAAAGCUGGCCAAACACGAUCAUUACCAUCAACAACACAGCUGUGGAGACAAAGAGAGGCCAGAAGUAUGCAAGAAUGGUUAGGAAGCGAGGCGCCACUUGAAACAGCAAGGCGAGGAUUAUUGAAACAACGACUGUUAUGAUGAAGUGAUAUUGAUACUGCAUUAGCUUUGUUUGGAUCUCCAUGGUUCCCUUCAUUCUUGAGGUAUGAAGAUUGUUUCCCCCUUUGCAGGGAUCCUAUGCUGCAAAUGCCGCUUUCAAGAAUUUCCCCCGUCUUGCUUCAUCCAUCUGCUAUUUAUUUUCUCAGGUGAACCAUUCUUCUGAAGCUCUAAUGACCAAAAUACCUUCCUUCCUCAGCAUAACCUUAGACCCAACUGUAAGGAACUUCACCAGUUAUAAUUACCAAAUAAUGAAUUCCCAAAUACCUUUAUGAUUCUGUUGUUGCUCUGGUUGGGUCUGGUAUCUACUGCAGCUGGGGUUAGGUGCUUGAUUUCAUGUAUCACCAACCUUGAGGGUAAUUGCAGAUGGCUGGAGGGGUCCUUUGGUAAUUACAGGAGAACCAAGAGAACAUUUUGGUAUAUAUUCUUCAUCCACUCCUUUGAUUCGAUGGUUGCUUUGUCCCUUUUCAAGUGCCUACUUUUCAAUUGGAAUGAAGAUUAAGAUACAGGAAAGGCAUAGCUUCUUUUUUUCUCCUUUAUGGUAAUGAAUUGAGGAAAGGAUUAGCUGAUCAAACAAGAAAUGAGAGUCAUCUUGGCCAAGUUUAUUCUUCUUUUGGACUUUCACUAUUAAAAAUGAUUACUUUGUGGGAGGGUUUUGUAGAUAUCAUCCAUUGUCUCUUUCUUUUGUGAUUCUAUACUUUCAUAUUGAUGAAAUCAUUAUUUCUAUGCUCA